UAAUACGUAGGGGGCGAGCGUUGUCCGGAAUCAUUGGGCGUAAAGCGCGCGCAGGCGGCCCUUUAAGUCUGAUGUGAAAGCCCACGGCUCAACCGUGGAGGGUCAUUGGAAACUGGGGGGCUUGAGUGCAGGAGAGGAGAGCGGAAUUCCUGGUGUAGCGGUGAAAUGCGUAGAGAUCAGGAGGAACACCGAUGGCGAAGGCAGCUCUCUGGCCUGUAACUGACGCUGAGGCGCGAAAGCGUGGGGAGCAAACAGGAUUAGAUACCCUGGUAGUCCACGCCGUAAACGAUGAGUGCUAGGUGUUAGGGGUUUAAACACCCUUAGUGCCGAAGUCAACACAGUAAGCACUCCGCCUGGGGAGUACGGCCGCAAGGCUGAA
rnacentral:rRNA from 1 species